rnacentral:lncRNA from 10 species
CAGAUGGAAAACAAAAUGCCCUGUGCCCUGCAUGGUGUCUCCAGGUAUAGGUGGCAACUUCUGCAGGCAGUUUUCAUCUCUCCCUCUGCUUCAUUUAACCUAGAUAUUCUUGUUUUGAUAUUUAUUUGGAAGAAGAAUCUCUAUUGCACAUUUUAUAAAACACUACUAGGGCAUCUGCUAGAACAAUUAUACAUAGCUUUGGGUACAGAAUUUAAAAGAAAGCAUAUUCAAAGAAGAAAGACUGCAAGAAAAUCCCAGGUUCCAUUUGAGAGCUGGAGUGGAGUCACAGCAGAGAGAUCCCAGGUUGACACAGAAAGUUCUGUCUUUGCCACUCAUUAGCUGUGUGUCCUUGGGCAAAUUAAACAGCGUAAGCCAUCGUUUCUUCAUUCUACUGGCUCUUCUACUGUUUCUGCAAUAGCCUACGACCAUUUUGGACACAGCAACCUACAGGCAAGUUCUCAUCUGGACUCCUGGAUAUUUUCCCCAAUCCUGGACCUAGAAAUUAGCCUUUUCAUUUGCUUAGGAAAUGGAAUCAAAGGUCAUGGAUGAAACGCAUGAACAGGGUUUAGGAGACGGGGAACCUGCUCUUGGGGAUGAGGAUGAAAGCUGCAGACUAUCAAACUUGAACUUGAAAAUUGUGGUGAUCUUCUUGAACAUCUGUUUCCUAAUCACAGAAGCACAAAAACGUAUUUAAAAUUAUGGCAAAAAGACUUCAAGGAUCAAUAGAACUUCUCACUAGAGAAUUUGGCACUUCUUUGGAGAAUAUCCGUAAUAGCUACAAUCUAUAAUUUAAUUGUCAAGCAUUAAUAUGAAUUUAUGAAUGCUGAACUUUAGGUGCAACCAAAUCCCAUUUUUAACAGCAAGAGAAUCAUUUUGUGGACCUUAAAUUGCAUUGAUUUUAAAUAACUUGGAACCACACCUGCAUUUUUAAUGUGCCGCUUUGCUCUCACUGUAUAGGGUGAUUCUUACCCAAACUGGUAGAUGCGCUGUUUGCUCCAUCCCUUUAGAAGUACAUCAGGGGAAAGAAAAGGGAAGAGAAAACUAGGAAAUUACACCCAUUCAGAAAUCAUGAAGAGGCUGGGCUUUUGUCCUUCAUAUGUGAUUUUUUUUGAAACAUGAUUUUUGAAAUGAUUUAAAACGUAAGUUGUUGUAGGUUUGAAUUAUACAGCUCAAGUGAAGGGGUGUAGGAUGUAUGUGGAGGGUAAGGGAUGAAGGUUGGAAAAAUUACUGUUUGUGAGGUCCAAGCUAUUCAUGUAUUUGUUUAAUUCUCAUAACACUUCUGUAAAACUAGGGUUAUUGUUUCCAUUUAACAAGGAGAAAAGCCAGGCUCUAAGAAGAAAAUUAAUCUGCCGAAAGUCAUAGCUUUGUUCUCUUCAGAAUAAAACCUUUACUUAAAAGGUAAAGCUAUAAUGUUAUUUUCUUUACUGAAGAUGUCAUGAAUGGUACAUUUCUAAAAGGUAUCUCCCAUAUCUACUUACCCCAAGCAAAUCCUCUUUCCUUUGAACCAAAGCCAGCACACAUUUUUGGGAAAUAGUAAAUAUUUUAGGCUUCAUGAGCCAUAUCGUGUCUGUAGCAACUACUCAACCUGCUGAGGUGGAGCAAAACCAGCCAUUGACCACAUGUAAAUAAAUGAGCAUGGCUGCGUUUCAGCAAAACUUUACUUAUAAAAGCAAAUGGAAUACAAAAGCGGGGAGUCAGUGAAAUUUGGUCUGCAAGCCUGGUUUGCCAACCCCUGCUUGAGUCCAUACAUCCUCAGAACAAAAAUGAACAAAAAAUCCAAAAAAGUGCUAAAUGAAGGUGGAGUUUGGAGGUGAAAACAUUUUCUGUAAAGGGUAUCAUAAGCUUUAUAUUGUUUUCAUCAUAUAUUGAG